rnacentral:lncRNA from 1 species
CAGCUUCUGUGGACUCAGGCCAAUUGAAAGAGUGAUGAGAAUUGAUACAGACUCGUGGUGUUUUGCUAAGACAAGACUGUAAAAGAAUACAUUGAGUUUGGAAGGAAUAUGAACAGGACUCAACAGACUGUGACAGAGGCUUACAUAACUAGCUUUACAAUGCUUCAUUGCUCUCAUGUCUUUUGUCUUCAAGGAUCGUCACUUUGUUGAGAGAGGCAUGACAGAAAACUUCUCCUGGCAUCCUUGCUGACCCUGGUCUCUCCUGCUGACUUGUGCAGAUUCAGUAGAGGCCUGGCUGUUUCUGCUGGGUCGUGUUCACUAUACUGAUACUACUUAACUGGACUGCUGUUAUAUAUCCUGACAACACAGCGGAGUGACAUGGUAGUAGUGGUUCCUGUUCAGCCUCCAACAACCUGUGUGCCUAGAAUCACGGCAGAGUUCAGAAAUGGGUGCAGUCCAUGCCACAUGCAGGAGCUAAGAUGUCAGACCCCAGAGGAUUUGGCUUCCUGACGAGCCCUGACAGUGCUACUGUGCAGUACUCACUGUGGAGUUAGGAGAAAGGUGGUGAAUGAGAGCUGAUCUGCGACUCUGAGCUUUCCAGAUCAAUGCGCAUCAGUCGACCCAACCGACCACCUCCCACCUGCCUGAAGCACUGGAAGCCAUGUGACUCUGAAGCCGUGCGGGAAGAGCCACUAGAAACCUGUGUCCUAGAAAUCAGGAUCUUGAACUUGGCUCCUCUAGUCCCUGACUUUUAUACGGGAAGUCGGUAUAGACCUGCAACUGCGUCUGUGUGAUUGUGGAAAUGUGUGUGGGUGUGUAUCUGAGUGCAUGUGUGUGCCUGAGUGCACUGGUAUGAUGGAGCUGGAGGAGAGAGAGAGAGAGAGAGAGAGAAAGAGAGAGAGAGAGAGAGAGAGGUGUCUGUGAGAGUGGAGAGCUGGAGCCCAGGCGCGAGCAUGAGUCUCUGAAAGAUUAGAUGCAGUGGGCAUGGAUCAGAGCUAAAGGGUACUGGAUGGUGUGGUGUGAAUCUUCCUGUGUCUGACGCUUACAGGUGGUCAUUGACAUAUGCACCUGUGCAUGAUGGGAGGGCAUGGAAGGUGGCAGGAGGAAGGGCCUGGGGUGACUGUUCACAGAGGGGCUCAGGGUUUGUGAAUCAGAGGCUAAGGGGAAAGGCCCCACAAUCCAGGAUCUGGAAGAGCUUAUUUAAUUUUGUCACUCACUGUGUGUUUCUGUGUAUGAAUACCUGCAUUAAGGGAGCAUCCUAAGUAUCCAUCAGCAGAAGAAUGAAUAAAGAAAGUGCAGUUUGAGGCUGGAGAGAUGGCUCAGUGGUGAAAACGACUGACUACUCUUCCAGAGGCCCUGAGUUCAAUUCCCAGCAACCACAUGGUGGCUGACAACAAUCUGUAAUGGGAUCCAAUGCCUUCUUCUGGUGUGUCUGAAGACAGCGACAGUGUACUCAUGUGCCUGAAAUGAAUAAAUAAAUAAAUC